rnacentral:rRNA from 1 species
UACGUAGGGUGCGAGCGUUAAUCGGAAUUACUGGGCGUAAAGCGUGCGCAGGCGGUUAUGUAAGACAGAGGUGAAAACCCCGGGCUCAACCUGGGAACUGCCUUUGUGACUGCAUGACUAGAGUACGGCAGAGGGGGAUGGAAUUUCCCGUGUAGCAGUGAAAUGCGUAGAUAUGCGGAGGAACACCGAUGGCGAAGGCAAUCCCCUGGGCCUGCACUGACGCUCAUGCACGAAAGCGUGGGGAGCAAACAGG